GCCGAGCUGAAUAGCACCAGCUUCAGCUUGUGAUCCAAGUGGGGGGAUCAAGGUGAUGGGACAUAGCUUUGGCUUAACAGGUUGGGUUUGUCGCUGCACUAUGCUGGCCUGCUCGCUCCAAGUUGAGAGUUGAGCCACGGGACUUGUGCUAAAGCACGGGUCUUAUGGGUCUUAGACAAGAGGGUACAGCGUGAGGCUGGUUUAACAGAGCAGCGAACACCUCCUUCUCCUGACAGUGGAGGGAUCACAGGCUGCUGCACCUCCAACCCACAACACCUGGUGAGCCUAGCCACAUGAACUAUUAUUUUU
rnacentral:SRP_RNA from 1 species